rnacentral:rRNA from 1 species
UACGUAGGGUGCAAGCGUUAAUCGGAAUUACUGGGCGUAAAGCGUGCGCAGGCGGUCCGUUAAGACAGAUGUGAAAUCCCCGGGCUUAACCUGGGAACUGCAUUUGUGACUGGCGGACUCGAGUAUGGCAGAGGGGGGUAGAAUUCCACGUGUGAGCAGUGAAAUGCGUAGAGAUGGUGGAGGAAUACCGAUGGCGAAGGCAGCCUCCUGGGCCCAACA